AUUGAACGCUGGCGGCAUGCCUUACACAUGCAAGUCGAACGGCAGCACGGGAGCUUGCUCCUGGUGGCGAGUGGCGAACGGGUGAGUAAUACAUCGGAACGUACCCUGAAGUGGGGGGAUAACGUAGCGAAAGUUACGCUAAUACCGCAUAUUCUGUGAGCAGGAAAGAGGGGGAUCGCAAGACCUCUUGCUUUAGGAGCGGCCGAUGUCGGAUUAGCUAGUUGGUGAGGUAAAGGCUCACCAAGGCGACGAUCCGUAGCGGGUCUGAGAGGAUGAUCCGCCACACUGGGACUGAGACACGGCCCAGACUCCUACGGGAGGCAGCAGUGGGGAAUUUUGGACAAUGGGCGCAAGCCUGAUCCAGCCAUGCCGCGUGAGUGAAGAAGGCCUUCGGGUUGUAAGG
rnacentral:rRNA from 1 species